CCUUUAGGAUUAGUUUACUAUUGGAGCGGUUAGUGGCGGACUGGUGAGUAACACGUAAGCAACCUGCCUAUCAGAGGGGAACAACAGAUAGAAAUGACUGCUAAUACCGCAUAUGCCUUAGAAACACAUGGUUCAAAAGGGAAAGGAGCAAUCCGCUGAUAGAUGGGCUUGCGUCUGAUUAGCUAGUUGGUGGGGUAACGGCCUACCAAGGCGACGAUCAGUAGCCGAACUGAGAGGUUGAACGGCCGCAUUGGGACUGAGAUACGGCCCAGACUCCUACGGGAGGCAGCAGUCGGGAAUAUUGCGCAAUGGAGGAAACUCUGACGCAGUGACGCCGCGUGCAGGAAGAAGGUUUUCGGAUUGUAAACUGCUUUAGACAGGGAAGAACAAAGACAGUACCUGUAGAAUAAGCUCCGGCUAACUACGUGCCAGCAGCCGCGGUAAUACGUAGGGAGCGAGCGUUAUCCGGAUUUAUUGGGUGUAAAGGGUGCGUAGACGGGAAGUCAAGUUAGUUGUGAAAUCCCUCGGCUUAACUGAGGAACUGCAACUAAAACUGAUUUUCUUGAGUACUGGAGAGGAAAGUGGAAUUCCUAGUGUAGCGGUGAAAUGCGUAGAUAUUAGGAGGAACACCGGUGGCGAAGGCGACUUUCUGGACAGAAACUGACGUUGAGGCACGAAAGUG
rnacentral:rRNA from 1 species